GAUUAACGCUGGCGGCGUGCAUAACACAUGCAAGUCGAACGAAGUGGCGGACGGGUGAGUAACGCGUGAGUAACCUGCCUUAGAGAAGGGGAUAGCCUUUGGAAACGAAGAAUAAUACCCUAUGCUCUAAGAUGGACUUGCGUCUGAUUAGUUAGUUGGUGGGGUAACGGCCCACCAAGACAGCGAUCAGUAGCCGGCUUGAGAGAGUGUACGGCCACAUUGGGACUGAGACACGGCCCAGACUCUACGGGAGGCAGCAGUGGGGAAAUUGGCACAAUGGGGGAAACCCUGAUGCAGCGACGCCGCGUGAUUUAGAAGGCCUGCGGGUUGUAAAGUUCUUUUAUAUGGGAAGCGGUACCAGAAGAAAAAGCCCCGGCUAACUACGUGCCAGCAGCCGCGGUAAUAC
rnacentral:rRNA from 1 species